UAAAUAAUAUUCGCUUGUAUACUGUUUUCUUUACUAAAGAAUAAACAACAUAGAAUAUGUGCUGUACGCCUUUGAAUAACAAGUUAGUUUUCGUUUAUCAAGCAGUGUUACUUUUACGUAAGUACUAACGUAGGGGCCCAUCUAUGUACAGCUACCAAAAUUGGAUUUUGUAAUGUCAGUGGAUUUACUGUCGUGGGCACUGUGGGUUUGCCUACAAUCCUAAUUUAGGUACUUGUGACGUGCUUAUUUUCAUGUUACUCACUCUGUCAAGUCCCUUAUGUACUUCCCCUACAAGCUCCCUACCUCGAUGAACUCUCUUAUACGGGUGUAGUACCUACUCCGUUUUUAAACUCUACCCUAAUAAACCUUAUGUAUAGGUACACCAAUACUUAAAUACUUAUUUAUGGUACUACCUACACCAAUGUACUCUCUUAUGUAGGUACUGUUUUACGUAUUCCCCCAAGUACCGAAUGGCCAUUUAGAUGGUCGAUUUAGCCCGCGCGGCAAAAAUCGUGCGGUUGUACCUACAUAGCCCUAUGUACUCUUUGUACUUUUUUUUGGCAGGGGAAAAUCCUCAUGGACUUUCCUCCACCUGGGGUCGAUGUCCCGGACUCUUACAGGCUAAAAACCCACACAGUGUUGCCUUCAAUUACCUAUUGUCGAGGGCACGGGUAACGCCAAAGCAUUCUUCUGCACCCCCGACAGGUACCUAUUGGCCCGCCAGAUGUUCAAAGGCGGACCCUGAUACCCUCUGUGUCAAACCAUCACAUCCUCACAAAAGGAAGCGACGGCGUUCCACAAUUCUUCGCUGCCGACCAUGCAGGAAACGACAGCCGGCAUCGAACGACUUCCCGCAGAAUCUACUGCUGCCGCAAGAUCACGGCGCUGCGUUGCCCAUGCUGUGCACUCCACCAAUGUGUGCAGCGCCGAGUCUUCGCUGCAUAUGCCACAGUGGUGGCAUUCGGGCGUGGGCUCCCGGCUAUGCGACACAGAAACUUUCCAAAACACCCAUGUCCGGUAAGAACCUGCGUCAGCCGGAAGCUGAGGGCGCCGUGGCGUCGCUCCAGCCACUCCUUCAGUAUGGGCCUUACCGCCGCGACAGCGGAGUGCCCUGCCGUGCGUCGCGUAAGUCGCUGCUCCCAUUCCGCAAUGAGGUCUUGGCGGAUCUCUGCCCUGCGCGUCUCAACUUGCCGAGGCACGAGGCCCUCGCCCCGCCGCUGCUUAACUCUCGUUGUGUAUUUCCCUCAUUCAUGUGCCACCCCUAUGUACUGUCGUGUCCCUGAAUGGAAUGAAUGUUUAGUAGGAAAGUGAAUUUUCAACCAUGUCGGAUGGAUGUGUUGCGACAGCUCUGUCCUUUAGGUACCAUACAAUCAGUAGGUACAUAUUUAAUGUGGAGGCUUAAAUAAAGGAUAAGGAAGUAUGUACCUAAGGAUAACGAUAGAUCAAUAUUUUCGUAGCAUCGUCUUACUCCUAUGUGGAUGGAGUUACGACAAAAAUGGCAAAAAAAUUGCCGAAGAAUCCACCAGUGUGGUCUAACGAGCCGAGCGUGUAUUCCAUGCCAAAUCUGCGUAAAGAUAACAAAGAAGAGGAAGAAGCAAGCGCGAUAGGCGGAGGAAAACAAGCUCAGGCAGACGGCGCGGCUAACAGUUUGGCAAGCCACACAUAUGGGGGCAUGUUACAAGCUCAAACCCAACAAGAAAGUUCACCGUGAGAACUCAAAAGAUUCACACAUAGGGGAUGGCUAUUACUGGCCAAAUAAUUACUAGAAAUAAAUACCUACUAGUAGACUUUACGUGAAGAGUGGCAGUUAUUAUCCAACUUUGGCAAUGAUGCCAGCCUGUUAACAAAUUGUGAAGAAAUACUGAUACUUUUAAAAACAUGGCGGUAUGCAAUUGAAAGCCAUUCAUCGUUAGAUACACCUAUAUUAUGUGUAGUGUAAAUAAAUUCCUGGAAAACUGA
rnacentral:lncRNA from 1 species